CGGCGAGCGAACGGGGAGGAGCCCAGAGUCUGAAUCAGUGUGUGUGUUAGUGGAAGCGUCUGGAAAGGCGCGCGAUACAGGGUGACAGCCCCGUACACAAAAAUGCACAUACUGUGAGCUCGAUGAGUAGGGCGGGACACGUGGUAUCCUGUCUGAAUAUGGGGGGACCAUCCUCCAAGGCUAAAUACUCCUGACUGACCGAUAGUGAACCAGUACCGUGAGG
rnacentral:rRNA from 1 species